GGGGAUAACAGGCUGAUACCGCCCAAGAGUUCAUAUCGACGGCGGUGUUUGGCACCUCGAUGUCGGCUCAUCACAUCCUGGGGCUGAAGCCGGUCCCAAGGGUAUGGCUGUUCGCCAUUUAAAGUGGUACGCGAGCUGGGUUUAGAACGUCGUGAGACAGUUCGGUCCCUAUCUGCCGUGGACGUUUGAGAUUUGAGAGGGGCUGCUCCUAGUACGAGAGGACCGGAGUGGACGAACCUCUGGUGUUCCGGUUGUCACGCCAGUGGCAUUGCCGGGUAGCUAUGUUCGGAAGAGAUAACCGCUGAAAGCAUCUAAGCGGGAAACUUGCCUCAAGAUGAGAUCUCACUGGGAUCUUGAAUCCCCUAAAGGGCCGUCGAAGACUACGACGUUGAUAGGUUGGGUGUGUAAGCGCUGUGAGGCGUUGAGCUAACCAAUACUAAUUGCCCGUGAGGCUUGACCAUAUAACACCCAAGCAAUU
rnacentral:rRNA from 1 species